AUGCCAAAUCAACUGAGCUCCCUGGCUCAUGCACAUGCAAAACAUUUGAAUUUCCUGUUGGCUCAGAGUGUUUGCAUUGCAAGUGACAUCUGGCUGACAGGAACUUGGAGAAAUGGGAUACAAAGUGAAUGCUGCAGUUACCACGGUAUCAUAUUUAUCAAAAGGCUUAAGAGUUCUUGAACAGGAGGUAAUCUGACACGAAGUGUAUUUACAGUAUUGGUGGCCUACUACUACUGCUGCAGUCAUUGCUUUUCCUGAGGAUGCCAUAAACACAGAAUAUUUUCUCAAGCCAAAUUCUGGUGCUGCCUGUUUUCUGCCUCGUCCUCUGCAGGACAUUCUUGAACCAAAACCUUGAGAAGCAGCAUUUAUUACUUGGUAUAGCUAUCUGCUGAGAAGAGAAAUGUGAAAUAGACUCCCUAAAGAAGUGGUGUGCCAAAACCAUGGAAGACACUCCAUUGAGAAAAUUCAUGUGCCU
rnacentral:lncRNA from 1 species